UCCGUCGUAGUCUAGGUGGUUAGGAUACGCGGCUCUCACCCGCGCGACCCGGGUUCAAGUCCCGGCGACGGAA
rfam:Eimeria maxima Weybridge genomic scaffold, Emw_scaff488